AAAAAGGCAAACCCUGGGUUUCCGUGUCUAACUUUAACUGUCCGUCUUAUAUGAAAUUUUUUUAUAAUUCAUAUUUUUAUUGUUGUUAGAUGAUAAAACAUGAUUAAUACUUUGUGCGUGACUUGUCUUUUUAAUUUUUUUCAUAAUUUUUUCAAAUAAGACGAACGGUCAAACGUUGGGCACGGAAACCAGGGUUUGUCUUUUU
rfam:Oryza sativa Japonica Group DNA, chromosome 2, cultivar: Nipponbare, complete sequence.